UACGUAGGGUGCGAGCGUUGUCCGGAAUUAUUGGGCGUAAAGAGCUCGUAGGCGGUGUGUCACGUCGGCCGUGAAAACCUGCAGCUUAACUGUGGGCGUGCGGUCGAUACGGGCAUCACUGGAGUUCGGCAGGGGAGACUGGAAUUCCUGGUGUAGCGGUGAAAUGCGCAGAUAUCAGGAGGAACACCGGUGGCGAAGGCGGGUCUCUGGGCCGAUACUGACGCUGAGGAGCGAAGGCCAGGGGAGCAAACGGG
rnacentral:rRNA from 1 species